GGCUGAGGUUUAUGAAAGCGAAACAUCUAUAUUACCCACAAAAAAAGAAAAUAAAGAUUUUAAUAAUCAAUGUUUGUUAGCGGAUGCUGAGGUUUAUGGUAGCGAAAUAUCUAUUUUACCCAUAGUAAAAGAAAAUAAAGAUUUUAACAACCAAUGCUUAUUAGCAGAUCAUAUUAUUAAUAAUAUUGGAAGACCAACCAAUGAAAAAGGAAAAAAAGGCUAUAAUGAAAAAGUUCCAUUAGUUGAUGUAUGUAUAUAUUUACGCUUUCCUUUAACUAUUUAUAUUUUUGUAUUUCAUUUUUGGUAACUUUUUUGUAAAG